UACAUUCUGGAGCUGGACAGACAAUAACGCAAAUCCGCCAAUCAAAUUGGAUACCUUCCAUUAGACAGUGCGUAAACCACAUCGUACAGAAAUGUGUAAAGUGGCGAAAAGUGACAGGAAAAGCGUUUCCACAGCAAAUUUCACCUCCGCUACCGAAAGAUAGAGUCACCGAUAUGAUUCCGUUUACGACAACUGGUGUUGAUUUCGCUGGACCACUCUUCGUUAAGGAAAAUGGACUUGAUAUGAAGAAAUCGUAUAUUUGUCUAUUCACAUGUGCGUGUAUUCGUACCGUACACCUAGAACUAGUUACGGAUAUGACAAUCGAGUCAUUAAAAUUAGCGUUUAGACGAUUCGUUAGUAGGAGAGGAAUUCCCAGUACUGUGUAUUCCGACAAUGCACCAACCUUUGUUUCCGCUUCACAUGAUAUUCCAAA
rnacentral:lncRNA from 1 species